AAUUUUUUAUAGAUCUUUUAGAAUUUUUUCUAAUAGGAUUUCUGACCUUGGUUGGAAAUCUUCA